CUUUGAAGAGGUUGCUAACCAAGCCUUGGUGAAACAGCGGACCAACAACCAAAACCAAGACUGGGACAGACCAGAGACAGGCCAGACCCACCCCUCCCAUCAGACACUCCUGCAAGGAGUCUGGGGCCCGCCAUAGCAGGGAGCUGAUGUCACCAGAGUUGGGCUGAAGGGAUCCCUUCCCAGUGGAAUCGGCUUUAGCAGGUGUAUGACUCCCAUCCCCACCAGAUACAUACAGCUGGGAAACCUCAAAAAUCUCAUCCCAGAGCUCCGUGGGCGUGAUGGUAGGGGCUGAGGGAAGCAGAGGGAACUCCCGACCCCCAACUCCCCCUACCACCAGCAGCGACACACAGGGCCUUAGCCGGCAGCUCCCAGGGGCCGUGGCCACCAAAGGAGUCCAGGAAAUUUAAGCUGACCCGCUCCACAACCUUGGGGUCUGGGUGAACGGCAAACAGAGAGAGGGCUUAGUCGUUCAGGAAAUAGGGCACUCAGGGGGGCUGCACGUGUAACUAGAUCUGUGGAGAUCGCCUCCGGUGAGUGGGUCCUGGCUGGCUGGCUGGCAGGAGGAAGGGGGGAAGGGGCCAGAGAAGAGAAAGGGCUCUGGACUAACAGGAUUGGAGAGACGCCUAGCAGGAGAAGAGGAGCUCGCCUUACAGGGAUUGCUGCCGGCACAUAGAGGGCAGAAGCUCAGCUGAGAGGACACAGCCCCACCUACUGGAAGAGAAGAAAAUAGAACUCUAAGACUUCAUUUAUCUUUUUUUUUUUUUUUUCUUUUUCUUUUUUCUUUUUUUCCCUUUUCAAUUUUUAUUGUUCUUUCCAUUCUCCUCUAUUCUACCUAUUUUUCUCUCCCUCUUUUUCUUUAAGGACUUCUUCCUUCCCCUUCCCCCUAACAUUCACCUCAAGCAUUAUGACUUUCAUUACGGGUAAUUUUCUAAAUGCAAAAAUGUAUCUGUUUUUUUAAAAGAAUCUACUGACUUUUCUCUUACAC
rnacentral:lncRNA from 1 species